UAGGGAAUUGUCGGCAAUGGGCGAAAGCCUGACCGCGCGACGCCGCGUGGAGGAAGAAGGUCUUCGGAUUGUAAACUCCUUUUAUGAGGGACGCGGUACCUCAUGAAUAAGGACCUGCUAACUACGUGCCAGCAGCAGCGGUAAUACGUAGGGUCCGAGCGUUAUCCGGAAUUAUUGGGCGUAAAGAGCGUGUAGGCGUUCGUUUAAGUUAGUCGUUAAAUCUCACCGCCUAACGGUGAGGCUGCGAUUAAUACUGAACGAAUUGAGUUGUGCAGGGGCGAGCAGAAUUCUCGGAGUAGGGAUAAAAUCCGUUGAUACCGAGAGGAAUACCAAUGGCGAAGGCAGCUCGCUAGGCACAACUGACGCUGAUACGCGAAAGCGUGGGGAGCAAACGGGAUUAGAUA
rnacentral:rRNA from 1 species